CCUACGGGAGGCAGCAGUGAGGAAUAUUGGUCAAUGGCCGGAAGGCUGAACCAGCCAAUCCGCGUGCAGGACGAAGGUGCCAAGCAUUGUAAACUUCUUUUGUCAAGGGACAAAAUUAGGCUCGAGAGCCUGACUGAGGGUACUUUAAGAAAAAGCAUCGGCUAACUCCGUGCCAGCAGCCGCGGUAAUACGGAGGAUGCAAGCGUUAUCCGGAUUUAUUGGGUUUAAAGGGUCCGUAGGCGGGCUGUUAAGUCAGCGGUAAAAUCCCGUGGCUCAACCCUG
rnacentral:rRNA from 1 species